rnacentral:rRNA from 1 species
UACGUAGGUGGCGAUCGUUGUCCGGAAUUACUGGGUGUAAAGGGCGUGUAGGCGGGGGUGUAAGUCAGAUGUGAAAUUCCUAGGCUUAACCUGGGCGCUGCAUCUGAAACUAUACCUCUUGAGUGCUGGAGAGGAAAGCGGAAUUCCCAGUGUAGCGGUGAAAUGCGUAGAUAUUGGGAGGAACACCAGUGGCGAAGGCGGCUUUCUGGACAGUAACUGACGCUGAGGCGCGAAAGCGUGGGGAGAAAACAGG